GAGGGCUCCACUCUAUUUAGUUUUAUCCUGCCAAACAUGUUGGGUAGAUGAAUGUCGUACCUAAAAUACCGGCGUGGAUUUUCCGCUUGACUUUUUACUACCGCGUAUAAAUAGUAGAAAUCGUAUUGCUAGGAUGUGGUGGACAGGAAACGGCGCGAGGACUCUGCAGGCCUGGGUCCGAUCUGACUACAGUGCUCUCGUCCGUCAACCUCUGUCAGUCUCAGUGUUGCCCUCUCGCAGAUGCAGAUCUGAGUCCGCAGCCGCCGUGGCAGGAGCCCACGUGUCCUGGAGCCCACGCCCCGCGCGUCGGGUGCAAGCGGCCCCACUGCUCACGCGGCUUGCCCUGGACAUCUCCUCAGCCAGGGAAUCUUCGGGAGACCUAAUGACGCCUUAAAGACCAGGUCAGCUACCACCGACUACCUCAGCGCUGCCUUCCGGGCCCGCAGGAGCCCAGUGUUCUUCUUGCCCAAAAACCCUUACUGCCAUCCUGUGGAUAGGGGUCGGCAGGCUACAGCCUAUGGUCACAGCCCGCUUGCUGGCUGCUGGUGACCGCAGAGUUGGGCAGUUGCGACAGAGACCACGUGGCCUGCAAAGCCCAGCAUAUUUUCUGUCUGGCCUUUUACAGAAAAAGGUUGCUAAUAUGGAGUCUAGAUCUUUAUUAUGUUACCUAAUGCUAAAAUUCCAUUACCUUACUAUAUUUUCUUAAAACAUAAUUAUAUGUAUGACUAUAUGUGUGUGUCUCUGUGUAUAUAUGGACAUAUAUAGUUAACUUUUAGUUUAUGUGUUCUAUUUCCCAUUUCCCAAGUGAGACCACAAGCUUCUUGCAGGCAGAGACCAUCUUGUUCACCCGACCUCCUCCAGAGUGCCCGGGACUGACGAAUGUGCUCUGUGGCUUCAUCUAGCCUCAGGCCUGUGGUUAAAUGAUAUGUUGUCACGGCACAGCUUCGAUGAAAUAGGAAAUAAACCCGCUACCCUGUUGAUUGGUACA
rnacentral:lncRNA from 12 species